rnacentral:rRNA from 1 species
CAUGCAAGUCGAACGGCAGCACGGGUGCUUGCACCUGGUGGCGAGUGGCGAACGGGUGAGUAAUAUAUCGGAACGUGCCCUAGAGUGGGGGAUAACGUAGCGAAAGUUACGCUAAUACCGCAUACGAUCUACGGAUGAAAGUGGGGGAUCGCAAGACCUCAUGCUCAUGGAGCGGCCGAUAUCUGAUUAGCUAGUUGGUGGGGUAAAAGCCUACCAAGGCGACGAUCAGUAGCUGGUCUGAGAGGACGACCAGCCACACUGGGACUGAUACACGGCCCAGACUCCUACGGGAGGCAGCAGUGGGGAAUUUUGGACAAUGGGGGCAACCCUGAUCCAGCAAUGCCGCGUGUGUGAAGAAGGCCUUCGGGUUGUAAAGCACUUUUGUCAGGAACGAAACGGUGGAGGCUAAUACCUUCUGCUAAUGACGGUACCUGAAGAAUAAGCACCGGCUAACUACGUGCCAGCAGCCGCGGUAAUACGUAGGGUGCGAGCGUUAAUCGGAAUUACUGGGCGUAAAGCGUGCGCAGGCGGUUGUGCAAGACAGAUGUGAAAUCCCCGGGCUCAACCUGGGAAUUGCAUUUGUGACUGCACGGCUAGAGUGUGUCAGAGGGGGGUAGAAUUCCACGUGUAGCAGUGAAAUGCGUAGAUAUGUGGAGGAAUACCGAUGGCGAAGGCAGCCCCCUGGGAUAACACUGACGCUCAUGCACGAAAGCGUGGGGAGCAAACAGGAUUAGAUACCCUGGUAGUCCACGCCCUAAACGAUGUCUACCAGUUGUCGGGUCUUAAUUGACUUGGUAACGCAGCUAACGCGUGAAGUAGACCGCCGUGGGGAGUACGGUCGCAAGAUUAAAACUCAAAGGAAUUGACGGGGCACCCGCACAAGCGGUGGAUGAUGUGGAUUAAUUCGAUGCAACGCGAAAAAACCUUACCUACCCUUUGACAUGUACAGACACCCUGCUGAGAAGUGGGGGGCUGCUCGAAAGGAGAACCGGUA